rnacentral:rRNA from 1 species
UACAGAGGGGGCAAGCGUUAUUCGGAAUUAUUGGGCGUAAAGGGCGCGUAGGCGGCGAUUCAAGUGACGGGUGAAAUCCCUCGGCUUAACCGAGGAACUGCCCUCCAAACUGUUUGGCUUGAGACCGGGAGAGGUGAGUGGAAUUCCCAGUGUAGCGGUGAAAUGCGUAGAUAUUGGGAGGAACACCAGUGGCGAAGGCGGCUCACUGGACCGGUACUGACGCUGAGGCGCGAAAGCGUGGGGAGCAAACGGG